AUUGAACGCUGGCGGCAGGCCUAACACAUGCAAGUCGAGCGGAUGAAGGGAGCUUGCUCCUGGAUUCAGCGGCGGACGGGUGAGUAAUGCCUAGGAAUCUGCCUGGUAGUGGGGGAUAACGUCCGGAAACGGGCGCUAAUACCGCAUACGUCCUGAGGGAGAAAGAGGGGGAGCUUCGGACCUCACGCUAUCAGAUGAGCCUAGGUGGGAUUAGCUAGUUGGUGGGGUAAAGGCCUACCAAGGCGACGACCGGUAACUGGUCUGAGAGGAUGAUCAGUCACACUGGAACUGAGACACGGUCCAGACUCCUACGGGAGGCAGCAGUGGGGAAUAUUGGACAAUGGGCGAAAGCCUGAUCCAGCCAUGCCGCGUGUGUGAAGAAGGUCUUCGGAUUGUAAAGCACUUUAAGUUGGGAGGAAGGGCAGUAAGUUAAUACCUUGCUGUUUUGACGUUACCAACAGAAUAAGCACCGGCUAACUUCGUG
rnacentral:rRNA from 1 species